GAUGAACGCUGGCGGCGUGCCUAAUACAUGCAAGUCGAGCGAACAGACGAGGAGCUUGCUCCUCUGACGUUAGCGGCGGACGGGUGAGUAACACGUGGAUAACCUACCUAUAAGACUGGGAUAACUUCGGGAAACCGGAGCUAUACCGGAUAAUAUAUUGAACCGCAUGGUUCAAUAGUGAAAGACGGUUUUGCUGUCACUUAUAGAUGGAUCCGCGCCGCAUUAGCUAGUUGGUAAGGUAACGGCUUACCAAGGCAACGAUGCGUAGCCGACCUGAGAGGGUGAUCGGCCACACUGGAACUGAGACACGGUCCAGACUCCUACGGGAGGCAGCAGUAGGGAAUCUUCCGCAAUGGGCGAAAGCCUGACGGAGCAACGCCGCGUGAGUGAUGAAGGUCUUCGGAUCGUAAAACUCUGUUAUUAGGGAAGAACAAAUGUGUAAGUAACUAUGCACGUCUUGACGGUACCUAAUCAGAAAGCCACAGCUAACUACGUG
rnacentral:rRNA from 1 species